GUCUCCAUGAGCCCAGGCCUUUGCUCUGACCUCAGCUUAUUUCUCUGCCGGCUCCCAGGGCUCUGAAUGAAAACACGGCAGCCUGGGAGGGGCGAGCCUGGAAAUGGCAGCCCUGCCUCCGGCUGCAGGGAGGGCCCAGGCAGAGGACAUUUUGCACGGCGCAGGAGAGCAGAGCUGCCUCCCCCCGAGCACCGGCCGCCUGCUGCGGGGAAACCACAGGAGCAGCUGCGUGGGGCGCAGGGAGAGGAGGAGUGGCCCCAGCCCUAUCAGGGGCAGGAAAGAUCUUAUCCCCGCUGCUGCCCUCUACGCGCUCUUUAGCACCUCUCCUCUAGCUCUCUCGCUCCGGUCCCUCGGAUUUCCUGUAGCAACCUGCAGACGCAGCACAGCGGCGCCCAAGCCCCCCCCCCCCCGGGCCGCCCCCGGCGCUGCCCCCCUGUAUAUUUCUGCCUGUCCCUGCGGCCCGGGACGGUCCCGAGCACGCCAGCGCCCCGGCAGAUGUGCUGGGAGGAGGACGGGGGGACAGGACGAGAGGUAUCGGGUUGCUGAGGAGCACGGCCAGGAGAAAGCAGCCGAAAUGCCAGUCCGGGACCAUUUGGGAGAAGCAGCAGAACAGGCACGAAACCAGAAUACAGACUUUACUGUCAAGCCAAAAGCUCGUAUUGGCGUCGUGAAUUAUUUGCCUGCAUGCACGAGAGAAAUGAAACACACCCCCAAAACCAGCCCAAAGCACCAAAGACCAGGAGAGCACUGAAUUAUCAGGAGCCGAAGAGAAUCCCCGUCAAGUUAUCUCUACAUUUGAGAGCCACUUCAGGCAAAGCCAAAACCCAGCACACAUCGGGCUGAACCUGGCCACGGGAUUCCCGGGGGGGGGGGGGUGCCAGGUGGGUUGGGGGGGCCCGGGAGCCGAGGGGAGAGGCGGCCACAACUUCUACAGACCUGGCACCGGAGGAUUUCGGGGAGAGCGAUGACAGCUCUUUCCUCCAGCCAGUGGCUCUUUGCAGCACUGCCAGCCCUAACUUCGGGCAGGUACUGCAGUCCCUGGGAAAUGGGCGGUAUUGCCCCUUGGAAAACGCAGCUGUCCCCGCAGGGCAUGCCUGCUUUUUGUUUGUGGGCUUACGGGAGCCUGGGUGUAUCUCCUAUCUGUAGCCUGCAGGGACUCUGCCAGGGAAGAUGUGGGGGCCUAGGCACGCUCCUCGCUGAAACUUCAUCUGUGCAGAAGCCCUUUGGGAAUACGCGGGCUUGCGCCGGCCUCGUUGAGCUCCUGACCCUCGGGACUCCGCCACGGACAAAGGGGAGGGGGUGUCUAGCUGGCGGCGGGGUCGAGGGAGUCUGGCGUGGCCUCUCUGGGGUACCAUGACUCUGCAGCAUUUGGAAGAUCUGGGAUAGAGUCGCCGGCUAGAUGGAGAGGACCUGGGGGAAGCACAGGAUCUGUGCAAGGGGGCUCGGCUCCUAAUCCGCCCUCGGCAGGGGCCGUUUGGGAGCGGAGGGGAAGCGGUAGAGGAGGGCUGCAGAGAUGUCUCAAAAAAAAAAAAAUUGCCAAGAAUUUUUUUGGGGCAUGGAAUGGGGGAGGGGGGCUGCGAGGGGAGAAAGAAAGGCGCCUCUGAGCACCACGAAGGGAAAAGGAGAAAUAAUGACCCUUCCCCCUCCCCCCAAUAAUAAGGCAGACCAGAUGGGAGGUAAAUAGUGCGUUUAGAAGCAUUUGCCACAGAUGGGCUGCCCUCAAUGGAAGCAUCCUCCAGCCACAUCAAUGC
rnacentral:lncRNA from 1 species